AUUUCGACUGAUUGCCAGUAAUGGUUUAUAUACUCGUCAAUCAAGAGCUUAAGGGCAAUGAAUAAAUCGAAUUUAUUUAUACCUUGGUUUAUUCGAAGGAACCGCUUCACCCUGGUCAAGAUCGCGCCGGGAAAGAACUACAUUCUGGGCAGUGAAUCUAAUCAUUAAAGGGCACCACACUCAUGUUUUCGAGCACUAACUUAAUUAGUGAUUUUACUAACCAAUUUAUCAUCUACAUGCCUUCGGAAGGGUUGUGGUGAGUCGGGCAUCACAAGGCAUGAACACACCCUGAACAGGGCACCAACACACUGCAUGGAGGAAACGGGAGCACCCGGAGGAAACCGACGCAGACACAGGGAGAACAUGCAAACUCCACACAUGAAAGACCCAGAUCGCCCCACCUGGAGAUCAAACCCAGGACCUUCUUGCUGUGAGGCGACAGUGCUGCUAUUUGCCAUCAGGGUGGUGGGAUAGCGGGAGACCAAACCCCUGCAAUGUAUUGGCCUCCUGUUCAUAGUGUUCCUGCCCUGCACAAUGCUGACCAAGAUCAAAUGGUUAAUGAAUAUAAAAUGAACUAAAAUUUUAAAAAUCAUAGCUAGUUCAGGUUCUGUUUGAGAAAGGGGCCAGCUGGGCGACACCUGAGCACCAUAGGUGAUAUGGUUGUUGUAAACAUAAUUUUUUCAAUAAAAGGA